rnacentral:rRNA from 1 species
UAGGGAAUCUUCGGCAAUGGGGGCAACCCUGACCGAGCAACGCCGCGUGAGUGAAGAAGGUUUUCGGAUCGUAAGGCUCUGUUGUAAGAGAAGAACGUGUGUGAGAGUGGAAAGUUCACACAGUGACGGUAACUUACCAGAAAGGGACGGCUAACUACGUGCCAG